UACAGAGGUCCCAAGCGUUUGUUCGGAUUCACUGGGCGUAAAGGGUGCGUAGGUGGCGAGGUAAGUCGGAUGUGAAAGCUCGGAGCUCAACUCCGAAAUGGCAUUGGAAACUACCUUGCUCGAGGGUUGGAGGGGGGACUGGAAUGCUUGGUGUAGCAGUGAAAUGCGUAGAUAUCAAGCGGAACACCAGUGGCGAAGGCGAGUCCCUGGACAACUCCUGACACUGAGGCACGAAAGCUAGGGGGAGCAAACAGG
rnacentral:rRNA from 1 species